rnacentral:rRNA from 1 species
AGCUCCAAUAGCGUAUAUUAAAGUUGUUGCGGUUAAAAAGCUCGUAGUUGGAUUUUUGGGUUGGCAUCAUUGGUCCAACACUGUUGCGUACCGAUGAGUCGGCUCUUUUGUCUUGAGACUUGUGCGGAGCCUUGAUUGGUUGCGUAUGGGGAUCUAUGACAUUUACUUUGAACAAAUUAGAGUGUUCAAAGCAGGCUUAGGCCGUUGGAUACAUUAGCAUGGAAUAAUGAGAUAGGGCCACGGCGGUCUAUUUUGUUGGUUUGCACGUUGUGGUAAUGAUUAACAGGAACGGUUGGGGGUAUUCGUAUUCAAUUGUCAGAGGUGAAAUUCUUGGAUUUGUGGAAGACGAACUACUGCGAAAGCAUUUACCAAGGAUGUUUUCAUUAAUCAAGAACGAAAG